ACUGAUCCGGCUGGACCUUUCCUUCUGGGGAACCUCAUGGCCUUCACUGGCUGUGGGGGGAACCAGGACAUUUACUGUGAAAAAAUUAGAGUGUUCAAAGCAGGCCUUUGCUCGAAUACAUUAGCAUGGAAUAAUAGAAUAGGACGUGCGGUUCUAUUUUGUUGGUUUCUAGGACCGCCGUAAUGAUUAAUAGGGAUAGUCGGGGGCGUCAGUAUUCAGCUGUCAGAGGUGAAAUUCUUGGAUUUGCUGAAGACUAACUACUGCGAAAGCAUUCGCCAAGGAUGUUUUCAUUAAUCAGGGAACGAAAGUUAGGGGAUCGAAGACGAUCAGAUACCGUCGUAGUCUUAACCAUAAACUAUGCCGACUAGGGAUCGGACGGGAUUCUAUAAUGACCCGUUCGGCACCUUACGAGAAAUCAAAGUUUUUGGGUUCUGGGGGGAGUAUGGUCGCAAGGCUGAAACUUAA
rnacentral:rRNA from 2 species